AGUACGACGGAGCACGUGAAAUUCCGUCGGAAUCUGGGAGGACCAUCUCCUAAGGCUAAAUACUCUCUAGUGACCGAUAGUGAACCAGUACCGUGAGGGAAAGGUGAAAAGCACCCCGGAAGGGGAGUGAAAUAGAACCUGAAACCGUGUGCUUACAAGUAGUCAGAGCCCGUUAAUGGGUGAUGGCGUGCCUUUUGUAGAAUGAACCGGCGAGUUACGAUUUGAUGCAAGGUUAAGCAGUAAAUGUGGAGCCGUAGCGAAAGCGAGUCUGAAUAGGGCGUUUAGUAUUUGGUCGUAGACCCGAAACCAGGUGAUCUACCCUUGGUCAGGUUGAAGUUCAGGUAACACUGAAUGGAGGACCGAACCGACUUACGUUGAAAAGUGAGCGGAUGAACUGAGGGUAGCGGAGAAAUUCCAAUCGAACCUGGAGAUAGCUGGUUCUCUCCGAAAUAGCUUUAGGGCUAGCCUCAAGUGAUGAUUAUUGGAGGUAGAGCACUGUUUGGACGAGGGGCCCCUCUCGGGUUACCGAAUUCAGACAAACUCCGAAUGCCAAUUAAUUUAACUUGGGAGUCAGAACAUGGGUGAUAAGGUCCGUGUUCGAAAGGGAAACAGCCCAGACCACCAGCUAAGGUCCCAAAAUAUAUGUUAAGUGGAAAAGGAUGUGGCGUUGCCCAGACAACUAGGAUGUUGGCUUAGAAGCAGCCAUCAUUUAAAGAGUGCGUAAUAGCUCACUAGUCGAGUGACACUGCGCCGAAAAUGUACCGGGGCUAAACAUAUUACCGAAGCUGUGGAUUGUCCUUUGGACAAUGGUAGGAGAGCGUUCUAAGGGCGUUGAAGCAUGAUCGUAAGGACAUGUGGAGCGCUUAGAAGUGAGAAUGCCGGUGUGAGUAGCGAAAGACGGGUGAGAAUCCCGUCCACCGAUUGACUAAGGUUUCCAGAGGAAGGCUCGUCCGCUCUGGGUUAGUCGGGUCCUAAGCUGAGGCCGACAGGCGUAGGCGAUGGAUAACAGGUUGAUAUUCCUGUACCACCUAUAAUCGUUUUA
rnacentral:rRNA from 1 species